rnacentral:lncRNA from 1 species
CAAUGGGAUCUUCAAUGUACUCUUCAUUUGAUGUCAAAGUGAUAAAAAUAGGCUGAUAUAAUAUGUUGAUAGUUCUUUUGAUGUCGUUUUUGCAAAGAAAAUAAUGCAACCGAUGUUGAUCUUCUUGUGAUGGGUAAAUCUUUCUCCCGCGAUGUAUGAAUCUCUUUUCGCGAUGCAUGAAUCUUCUCUUGCAAUGCAUGACUUCUCCGCGAUGCAUGACUUCUUUUUUUUUUUUUUUUUUUUUCAAUGCAUGACUUCUUUUUCGCGAUGCAUGAGUCCUUCUCUUGCAAUACAUGGUUUCUUCUUCUUGCUAUGUAUAAAUCUCUUCCCGCGAUGCACGAUUUCUUUUUCGGGAUGCAUGAGUCCUUCUCUUGCUAUGCAUGAAUCUCUUUUCUCGCAAUGUAUGACUCUUUUUCCCGCUAUGCAUGGCUUUUCUCUUGCUAUGCAUGAAUCUUCUCUUGCGAUGCAUGAAUCUUUUUCUCGCAAUGCAUGAAUCUUCUCUUGC